rnacentral:rRNA from 1 species
GAUGAACGCUGGCGGCGUGCCUAAUACAUGCAAGUCGAGCGAACGGACGAGAAGCUUGCUUCUCUGAUGUUAGCGGCGGACGGGUGAGUAACACGUGGAUAACCUACCUAUAAGACUGGGAUAACUUCGGGAAACCGGAGCUAAUACCGGAUAUAAUUUGAAACGCAUGGGUUCAAAGGGAAAGACGGUUCUGCCGUUCACUAAUGGAGGAUCCGCGCUGCAUUAGCUAGUUGGUAAGGUAAAGGCUUACCAAGGCAACGAUGCAUAGCCGACCUGAGAGGGUGAUCGGCCACACUGGAACUGAGACACGGUCCAGACUCCUACGGGAGGCAGCAGUAGGGAAUCUUCCGCAAUGGGCGAAAGCCUGACGGAGCAACGCCGCGUGAGUGAUGAAGGUCUUCGGAUCGUAAAACUCUGUUAUUAGGGAAGAACAUAUGUGUAAGUAACUGUGCACAUCUUGACGGUACCUAAUCAGAAAGCCACGGCUAACUACGUG